CCCCAGUUUUCCUCUCGGGUCUGGAAGGAAUUCUGCAAGGCGGUGGGCGCAGCAGCCAGCUUAUCCUCGGGGUAUCACCGCAGACCAACGGCCAGACGGAGCGGGCCAACCAAACCCUGGAAUCGGCACUCCGCUGUGUGGCCGCCCGCAACCCCUCCUCAUGGAGAUCCUUCCUCCCAUGGAUUGAAUACGCUCAUAAUUCCCUCACCAGGAGCAGGCGGUGGGAGUCCCCUCCAUACAAGAUCACUUCCAGAGAGCCCAGGCGGUUUGGAAGGACGUCCAGUCAGCGCCGAACCAGUCCACUGCACGCAACAAGCAGCUCGCGGACCAUCAUCGCUCCCCGACGCCCGAAUACAAGGCAACAGAAAGGAAGGGCAUCUCUUGCAGACAAGAAAACCACAGGAAAGGCUUGCUAAAAGACUCAUCUCCCAGAUGUUCCAUGAAAGAUCUGUGGUCCUUCUGAAGCUGCAAAGAACAUUUUAUUUUUUCCCCAUCCUCACCACAGCUUCAUUAACUUUAAGCUGCAUUAAAUGUAGAAUUCCUCAAGAAACUGUUCAGUUGCUUCCGCAAAUAUGUUCUCUGAAUAUUGUGGUCAAUCCUCAAAUGAUUGUAGCUUUCCUAUUGUGGUUGCGCUUUGCAUUUUU